rnacentral:sRNA from 1 species
GUUAUAGUUACAUACUUUAAGGUUCUUAUUUGGAUGAGGAAACACAGUAGUUCCUGUUUACAUAGUGAAGAGAAGUUCCAUAGAGUCAAUGUGAAUCAAUAUGCAGGAUGCCUUUCUAAGUGGUUUCAACAAUAAAAUAGAUUGCCUAGUUAGUGGUGAGAUUCCUCCAUUGGAGAGAUUUCUUUAUUAUAGAUGUAAAUAUAUAAUAUAAUUAUGUAAAUUUAAAAUAGAUAAACCUUUUCCAAAGAUAUUUAAUUCCCAAAUAUAAUUUUAAUAUAUUAUUUAAUACAUGAUGAUUUGAUACAUAAAUAAUAUUUAUUGGGGACUUGCUAUGUACCAGGCAGUUGUGCAAGGAUCUUUAUCAGACAUAACUUUUUCAAGUCUUUUAUAAAACUCUACAUAAUAAAUACAGCUUAUCAUCAAUAUUUUAGAGGAUAAAAUUGAGGUUUAGAGAGAAGUAACCUGGCCAAGGUCACAUAGUUGGAAAGUAAUAGAAUUGGUUCUCUAGCAGAAAAAGAUGAAUAUAUCUGCCAGAGAUAUUGUAAAAAACAAUUUUAUACUAAAUGAGAAAUAGAAAUCGAUGUUUCCUAAGUCCCAGACAGGUUAAUGGCAGAAACAAUUUUUUUUCUAAAUAUGUGAAUGGAGACAGGCAAGAGAAAACACUGCAUAUUGAGAUUUUUGGUCUCAAUGUUUUUUGUAUAUCUCUUCCACAAUAUCUAUAAAAUACAGAUAUAUCAUAAAUAGCAAUUUAGUCAAACUGGUCUCUUUGGACAGUAUGAUAGGAAUACGUGGAAUUUAAAAAUAAAUGUUUUCAGUUUUUUUCUUUAAUCAAAGAUUUCUCAAUACCACCCUGUUGUGAGACGGAUAUUACCUGAAAUUACAAACACGUUAAUAAUAAAGGGAUGCACAACUGUUUGCUCUAUCUUUCCCUGAUAUUUCUGCAUGUCAGUUGCUUUCCUAAACUGGAAGCAAAACAAAUUUGCUUCUUUGGGUAUGCUUAUCACCUUCAAAGCCGUAACCAUUUCUUUGCAGUGAUCACUUUGUUUAGGUGUUAAAUCAAACAAUGGAAACUUUGAGUUUAACCCGAGUGAGAUUUUCACAUUGGAAUGAAUCUCAUGAGGAUCUCUUUAAGGUCACUGCCAAAUUACAAGAUGUAAUUUGAAAAUUGACAUGUGGUCAGUAGGGUGCAUCAUGGGAGAAAUGAUAAAAGGUGCAGUGCUGUUUCCUGGCACUGAUCAUAUUGACCAGUGGAAUAAGGUAAUUGAACAACUAGGAACACCAUGUCCAGAAUUCAUGAAGAAAUUGCA